rnacentral:rRNA from 1 species
UACGUAGGGGGCUAGCGUUGUCCGGAUUUAUUGGGCGUAAAGAGCGUGUAGGCGGCCAGGUAGGUCUGGUGUGAAGACUCGAGGCUUAACCUCGAGAUGUCAUCGGAAACCAUCUGGCUAGAGUCCGGAAGAGGAGAGUGGAAUUCCUGGUGUAGCGGUGAAAUGCGCAGAUAUCAGGAAGAACACCAAUGGCGAAGGCGGCUCACUGGCCCGGUACUGACGCUGAGGCACGAAAGCGUGGGGAGCAAACAGG